rnacentral:lncRNA from 1 species
UGAACCAGUGAGCAUUGAGUUUGGGUUGGAUAGAAGAGAUAAAGUGAGAAAGCCUUUAAGCCAGUUUCUCUGAAAAUGAGAAUCUUUUGCCAAUCCAUGAAACACAAGUAUUUUUAUAAGUAUGUAUAUGUAUAUCAUCUGUAUGUGUGUGUGUGUGUGUGUGAUGAAAAUAUAAAUAGCCCUCAAGAAUAUUCCAGGAGUUGUCAGAGGUCCCUGUCCUUUCAAAAGCUCCAGUUUCCCUCCUUACCUAAACAUGUCGAUUCAGUGUGAGUCCUGAAUUAUUCAUAGAAACAUAAGGCCUGUAUUUGUCUGUAUACAUUUGUCUCUGACUUUUUAUUUUUGUCGUUUCGACCCCAUUCCCUGGCCCUGCUUUGUUUUUCUUUUUCAGCUUUUUUUUUUUUUCCCUGUUGCUUUGGAAAAGAAACAUUAGACUAAGCUAUUUUAUUGCUUUCCUCUCUCCUUUAACAUACAACAUUUGCCUAACCUCUCAGAGUGUUGUGAUUUCCUGGCCCUGGAGUUCUGACGCCAGAGAUAAUGAGAGAGUUGAUCUGGUGCACCGAGGCCAGGCGGCGAAGAACAAACACUGUGCUGUGCUGGCACUGACAAGGUGACAGAGGGCUCACACUUGCCUCACAUGCGGCAGCUCCCAGUUCUACAACCCAGUUUUCUUGUGCUCUAGGGCUUUGUUGCUUACUGUUUGGGGGUCUGGGCAUAAUUGUAGUAGAUUCUAAAAAUCAUAGCACACAGUGAUGGACAAGUGUCUAUAAUUGUGUUUGAACAGGAAAGUAAAGACUCAGAUGGUUCAAUUCCUUGUUGAUCCCUGCUGUCAUUCAGUGCCCUAAUGACUAUUCAUCUUGCUUUGUGCAGCAAUCUGUAAGCAGACAGUGUAAGAACGUGUGCCCCAGGUGAAUGUGUGUGUGUGCAUGUGUGUUCAGGAAGGUCUCCCUCUCUUCUUGUCAAGACUGCGGCUGUCAACUACUUCUCCAAGGUGUUGCUGAGAAUCAGCACUAAGGGCUGUAAGCUGCCUGCCACUUAGAUGUGGCACCUUACAUGUGUGCUGCCUUCGCAAACCGACUUGCCUGUGUGCACAGUGCUAGCUUAUCUGUGAGAGGACAGGGCUAUUAUGAAAUGCAACUUCUCUUUGAGAUGCAUUACUCCAAAAGGAAAAAAAGAGCUACCCUUGCUGGAACAGCAGAGAGAAGGGUCUGUGUGCGCCCUCUACCAUUGUGGUUUUGAUGUCUAAAUCUUCUGGAGCGGAUUGCUGCACUGAUGAGAUAAAAGCAGUUGCCUUUCCAAGUGCUGUCCAUUUGCAUUGAUAUUUACAUUCUUUGCCAAAGUGACAUCAUUACCAUUUGCUUAGUAUUUGUACCACAGGGAUGUGCUUUACAUAAUUUAAGACUUGGAAGUGAUGAUAAUGUAUUUCAGAUGGGUAGCAGAGGCCACAGGGUGCUGAAUCUCAUCCCUUUCCUCCUCAAAGACCCUAGUGCAUAAAUGAGUCACUAGUCCAUAUCCCUAAAUCACAUUAACAGCACUGCCUACUUGGUGCCAACAAUGUGUCUGGCAUAGGGCUGGAUUAUGACUCCAUAUACUAUUGUUUAACCCUCAUGACAACAUUAUAAGAAUAGAUAUUAUUAUUCCCAUUAUACAGUAAGGAAACUGAGGGCUAGAAGAGUUAGUACCUUGCACAAGUCUCAAUUCAGAGCCAUCUGAUUCCUUGAUGCAGUGUCCUGCUAUCUUUCAUCUUAUAGCUUAUUUGUUCUUUCAGAUUUAAGAAAUAGAAACCUUUUUGUACUUUCUCAGAAGAUACCAACUGGAAUAAAAAGAAAAAAAAAACACAAUAUUAGGGCACUCUGACCUUGGUCCAUUUCUCUUUCAUUCCCAUCCUUACUCCAAGUGCCCAGAAACUCCUCUUCGAAAUGAGUAUAAAAGAGCCAUGUUUGCCUUGAGAUAUUGCUAGAUGGCAAAGUUGGAAGCCAGAUGAGAGAACUUUGCCAGAUGGCACUUAUUUACCUGAUUGUGUGUCUUCUUAGUUUCAUUCAUGGGAAGAGAUUU